ACUCUAGCCCAGGCAACAGAGUGAGACUCUGUCUCAGAAAAAACAAAACAAAACAAAACAAAACAAAAAACAACAGAAUGCCAGAGCAGAAGGGGAAGUUGGUGAUGUGUAGCUCAUUCACUAUUUUACUUCUGUGCCAGGAACAAAGAAAGAGCUUGUCCCCAUUUAAGGGGCCCUAGAAAAGGUGAUUUUUUUACACCCCACUUUUGCCAUUGUGGCUAAUAUUUUACAAAUUGCACCGUCAGGAACUUUUGUAGAUCUGAGUUAAAUGACUUCAUCUUGUGUCCCUGUAGACGUGGUAUUGGAAGGAGGUUGAGGACUCCCUGGUGACUGGGACUGACCCUUCUCUUCUCAGUUGUAGCCUUUUGUGAUCAUGUUUAUACACCUUGGCCAGGGCUCCUUGACCUUGUAGUCAAGUGGGGACCCCAGCACAGUGCCUUUGGGCACAUUCUUCUCGGUGCAGGGGUCUGGGUACAUCUCCAGCUCUGGACUCGUGCCCAAGCCCCAGGUGCUGGAGGCAAACUCUGAAAAUGUGCUGAGAAGACCCCUGACUCUCUUGGCUCUGGUCUGUCAAUUGAUGGAGGUAGCAUAGCUGUCACCAAAAAGAAAGGGUCCCCUGGGGCCCAGAGAGAGGGACGGGCUUCCCAGGGCUACACAAUGCGGCAGGUGCAGAGCUGGGAUCAGGACUCCACAUUCCUGACUCCCUGUUCAGUGCUCCUGCUCACCUGUCACCAAGUGCUGAGUGUAUACCACUUUCUCCUGGGUCACUUUCUGCUGUCGUUGGAGGGAACAGGGCGGUGGGUGAAGGGAGCCCCUCCUCCCACAACCCCACACUCUCCAAGGAUGUUCUGGGGAGGGGGCAAGGGAGGUGGAGGGUGCCCUGCCAGGCCCAGACCCCCUAGCCCCUGGGCUGCCUUCUCUUAGGCAGAGAGCUCUGGCCAGGCCCGGCCUGGGCAGGGGGCCUGGGUGUGGUUUUCCCCUGCCGUGUGGUUGGCUUGUUUGUCUUCCAGGAUGGGUCUGUCUUGUGGGGGCUGUGUGGGGACGGAGCCGGGAGCCAGGCGCUGGCUGCCAACGUGCUGGCUGGCUGCUGCCAGCAUAGACGUGGACCAAGCACCUUCUCCGAGCCGGAUCCAGCGGCGAGCACCAGAGACAUGAUCCCGUCCCGGAUCUUCACGCCGCCCUGCCCCGCCAGGCCUCGGGGACGCCCGGCCCGGCCUUCUCCUGGGAGCCCGGCUGACUCCGGACUCCAGCCGUGGUGACGCAGGGAGCGGCGCUCGGUGGUUUUCUGGAACCCUGGGUGAUCCUUUGACGACCCGAUGGAGCUUCCCGUGGAGAAGAGCCCUUCCCGGUCAGUGCCGGCCGAGGACGGAUCCGGCGGCCGGAGCGCGCCGGGAAGGGUCUGAGCGGGGCCGGCCCUCCCCACCCGCGCACACCCUGCCUGGGGCUGGCGGCCACUUCCUGACGCCGCGUGGACUCGAUUCCUCCUCGCCUCCCUGCCGGUGACCAGACAGCGCUUGGCCUGGGCCCAGGCCCCACUGACCACUCCGCCGCCCCAGGCUGGGUCUCAGAGGACCCUACCUGAUGGGACAGGGACAGGGACAGGGAUGGGGGUUGCGGCUGUGCUGUGAGUGCGUGGGCAGGUGCAGCUCCUCUGUGCGCCA